rnacentral:rRNA from 1 species
AUUGAACGCUGGCGGCAGGCCUAACACAUGYAAGUCGAACGGUAGCAGGAAGUGCUUGCACUUYGCUGACGAGUGGCGGACGGGUGAGUAAUGCUUGGGAACUUGCCUUUGCGAGGGGGAUAACAGUUGGAAACGACUGCUAAUACCGCAUAAUGUCUACGGACCAAACGGGGCUUAGGCUUCGGCGCAGAGAGAGGCCCAAGUGAGAUUAGCUAGUUGGUGGGGUAAAGGCUCACCAAGGCAACGAUCUCUAGCUGUUCUGAGAGGAAGAUCAGCCACACUGGGACUGAGACACGGCCCAGACUCCUACGGGAGGCAGCAGUGGGGAAUAUUGCACAAUGGGGGAAACCCUGAUGCAGCCAUGCCGCGUGUGUGAAGAAGGCCUUCGGGUUGUAAAGCACUUUCAGUUGUGAGGAAAAGUGAGUAGUUAAUACCU